rnacentral:rRNA from 1 species
GUGUCAGCCGCCGCGGUAAUACGUAGGUGGCAAGCGUUGUCCGGAUUUACUGGGCGUAAAGGAUGUGUAGGCGGAUAUUUAAGUGAGAUGUGAAAUCCCCGGGCUUAACUUGGGGGCUGCAUUUCAAACUGGAUGACUAGAGUGCAGGAGAGGAAAGUGGAAUUCCUAGUGUAGCGGUGAAAUGCGUAGAGAUUAGGAGGAAAACCAGUGGCGAAGGCGACUUUCUGGACUGUAACUGACGCUGAGGCGUGAAAGCAUGGGGAGCAAACAGGAUUAGAUACCCUGGUAGUCCACGCCGUAAACGAUGAAUGCUAGGUGUAAGAGGGUU